ensembl:misc_RNA 7SK 7SK RNA
AGUUGUGAGGGCGACCUGGAUGCAACAUCUGUCACCCCACUGAUGGCCAGGUUGAACUGGCUGGCGAGGCGGGGUCCCCUUCCUCCCUCACUGCUCCAUGUGCGUCCCUCCCGAGGCUGUGCACUUGGCCGAGGAGGACGACCUUCCCUGAUAGAGGAGGGACCAUUCUUUCGUCCAGGGUAGACGCUAGCUGUGCUCCCCAGCCAGAACCUCCAAACCAGCUCUCCAGGUCCAUUUCCCAGACCAGACACAUCCAAAGGAGGCGCUGUGUGUGACAAUCUGCCUUUCUUU